rnacentral:rRNA from 1 species
AUUGAACGCUAGCGGCGGGCAUAAUACAUGCAAGUCGAACGGGAUAAGUUGUAGCAAUACGACCUUGAGAGUGGCGCACGGGUGCGUAACACGUAUGCAACUUGCCCUUAACAGGGAGAUAGCUUUCGGAAACGAAAAUUAAUACCCCAUAUUAUUACUUAUAUGCAUGUAUGAGUAAUGAAAGCUCCGGCGGUUAAGGAUGGGCAUGCGGCUGAUUAGCUAGUUGGCGAGGUAAAGGCUCACCAAGGCGACGAUCAGUAGGGGGUCUGAGAGGAUGUCCCCCCCACACUGGUACUGAGACACGGACCAGACUCCUACGGGAGGCAGCAGUAGGGAAUAUUGGUCAAUGGAGGCAACUCUGAACCAGCCACGCCGCGUGCAGGAUGAAGGCCCUCUGGGUUGUAAACUGCUUUUGUUAGGGAAAAAACCCCUCGAUGCGUUGAGGGUUGAUGGUACCUAAAGAAUAAGGAUCGGCUAACUCCGUGCCAGCCGCCGCCGUAAUAC